rnacentral:misc_RNA from 1 species
AUCACUGUCAUACAACUACAGUGACACUUUCGGCUAUUUUCGCUAGUUGUCCGAGACUGAUAGCACACGAUGGCGCAAGGGGACCCCAGAAAAUGGCAUUUACCGGGUUGGAGAAUAGAACAACGCUUUUCACAAGGGGUCCUUAUUGGAAACUGGUCAGAAGAACGCAAUGUGUUUAACAAGGGAAAUACCCCACACAACAGCACUCACAGAAUUGACUUCAGAAACUUUGGAAGUCAUCGUCCAGAUGUCGUCAUAAGACGCUCAGCUCGUUUGAAAAAUGAAGGAAUCGGGCAACAAAACUUGUUCUAUCACCAUGGCAACCGCUACUCGAACAACAUGGUUUCUUGGUACGACGAGCACUACAACGGGAGAUGGAGAGAAAACACUCUCCCUGAUUUGAGAACCUGGAACAGCCAUGAACUCUCAUGGGCACCUGAGAAGUCUGAUUACCCUCUACAAGGGUCUUCCACCAACUAUGGCUUGUAUCAGAAACUUCAAAACCGCUGGAGCGACCAAAUUGCUGAUGAAACUCGUGGGGAUUUCACUUCAACUUAUACAUCUUCAUACAACCCUAGAUCAGCUAGUGGGCUGGUGACAACAAGAUUUGCCAAUCCACGUGAGAACUCCACGACCCUCCACAAAUACAAUCACACCAACAAGGAUCUGGGCUUGAGACAAGUCUCGUCAGUGAAGUCUCCAGAAAAGCUUCCUGGUGACAUUCCACUGGUCUCUUGUUGAAAUAAGAACUUGUGUGUUGGCAUCUGAAUUAUUUCAGAUGACAUCUAAAAUCACUAUAUCUAGUCUCAUUUCUGUACAUUAUGAAGUAUUUUGAUAUAUGUUGUUUAACAAUCAAAGGUUUAUAUCAGUAAUGAUUAACAUAUUGGAUAUUAUGUGACAAUGAAUAACUAACAGUAUUACAUGAAUUUACAGUGUUUCAUCUAUUUUUUAAUAUGAACAGUUCAAAUCAAAACAGUGAAAUUGGAGGCUACGUAUUUAGACAUCCUCGAGAUCAUGUAGCAUUGAUCCAACUCUUUCAAGUAUUCAUAUUACUGAUUUUGUGAAUUCCAUUUAAGUCUUUAGAUUAUAUAUCUGCACAUUGUUAUUACAUUGAUAAAUUUUUUAACUAGUUGCACAGCACGAGAUAUGUCCUUGAUGUUAAAAUGAUCAUGCUGAAUGGUAAUGCGAGCACAAAUGUUCAGCAUAUUCACAAUCUUGGAAUAAUUUCAAUACCAAUUGUUUUCACUCGAGUCUUAGCAGACACAAGCACUUUUUGUUAUGAUUUUUGCAUCAUCUGCUUGACAAUACAUCAGAUUAACAAGUUAAAUUUGCUAACCUCAACAGUGACUGUCUCUAAAACAUGGAUUGGUCAUAUUUUCUCACAACAUCCUCAAGCUUGAUCUUGUUGUGCUAAUUAAAAUGGUUGCUCAAUGUUAGUUUCCUCACUUAUCGCCAAAUAUGUUGAGUUGUAUUCUCCAAGAAUAAUAACCUAUUUUGUUUUAUGCAAGAAACCUCAUUAUUCCAAACCCUCUUUAUCUGGAAAAUGGCUCAUAUACAAAGGAAUAUAUUUCUUUAAACUUUAUUCAUUAAUCCAGAAAUUGUAAAUCUGGACAAUUUUUGUUGUAAACAUGUUUGUUUGGAUUUCAUGAUAACCAUCUUUGUUGUCGAAAGAGGUUUUCACUUUACACAUUUGCUCAAUGACAAUACUCUCAGCAUAAUAUGCCUUUGGCUGUAAUCAGAAUGCUUAAAUCAAAAUGGCCUCGGAUAUGUACUACUGAACAGAACUAAAAGUAGUACACCUGCUUCUUUGAUAUUACUAUUCCUAAUCUUUCUUACCACAACAGAUGAAGUAAUGUAAAAUGAAAGAAUAAGGUGUUCAACUUUUUUAAAGUAGUAUGUGUUUGUGGUCAUAACAACAGCACCACGUGACAUUCUUUAGGGUAAUUAGCUCACAGUAUUAACACAGUAUUAUUGAAUCAUAUUUUUGAAUGAAGUGGCAGUAUUCAGUAUUAUGAAUCACCAUAACCUUGCAUAUAUUGUAUUUUGCACUUUUACUGUUUGUUUUUAUAUAUUAUGAAUAUACAGGUAUUUACAUACACAUUUAUUCAGUAUUAUCGAUUGUUAAUUUUGCUAAACCAAUAGCUUUAAGUCUGUGAUAUUGUUGCAUUUAAUGAAUAUGCUUUAUGGUAUUUAACUGUCUCAUCAAUGAUGUGAUAUGGAUUUUAUUUAUAUAUCUAUAUACCAGUGUCAAUAUUGUUUGCAGAAGUUCACAUGGCAGUAAUAGACUGGUCAAAAGAAGUUAAGUAUACUCACUUUUUUUCAUAUGGCUUUCGUUACGCUGCCUUGACAGAAUAUUUUAUCUAAAACUUAGAAUAGGGUGUGCCUUAACUUCUUUUGAGUACUAUAUGAUGCUAGUAAAUUUGGUUUGAAUCAGUCUCAUUUAUAUUGCCAAACGUCAGAUUUGUUUACUGGAUCUGGACUUGAAUGACUUUCCAUGUUAUUCAUCACAUGCAUGAUUCUAUAAAAUCAUCAAAAGCUGGCCAUGUGAUCUGGGAAUAUUUACGUGAAUAAUUUAUUAUUAUUAUUAUUAUAAACAUAUAUUGUGGAUUAAUGGUGAAAGUAUACAGAUGUAUUGUCAUCUAAUGUAUCAACCCAGAGAUACCUGAUGUGUCAUAUAACAUGUGAUAUAUCAAGUGCCAUGGGCCCACUACUGAACAGGGAUCUUGUUGAUACAACAAAGUCAUGUUUUUGUAUACUAUGUGAACAAAUCUUAGCACCAAGAUCUCUUGUCUCUAAGGACUGUAUAGCUAAACAAACAGUAUUAUAAAUCACGUUUACACAUUAGGGUGUUUGUAGAAUAUUCACAUUUCAAUACACAAUAUAUUUGUAUGAUUCAA